CCCUAGCCCCGAUUGAGCGGCCUGUUUGAGCUCUUUUCAUUUUUCGAGGUUGCGGCGGCUCCGCCGCCGCAACCUCGAAAAAUGAAAAAGCGAGUAGCGAAAGCGGGAAAUAGC
rnacentral:misc_RNA from 1 species